AAGCUCGUAGUUGAAUUUCGGGGUUAGUAGGUUGGUCAUGCCUCUGGUAUGUACUGGUCUCACUGAUUCCUCCUUCCUUAUGAACCGUAAUGCCAUUAAUUUGGUNUUGCGGGGAAUUUGGACUGUUACUUUGAAAAAAAUUAGAGUGUUUAAAGCAAGCUAACGCUUGAAUACAUUAGCAUGGAAUAAUGAAAUAGGACGUUCGAUCUUAUUUUGUUGGUUUCUAGGAUUGACGUAAUGAUUAAUAGGAUAGUUGGG
rnacentral:rRNA from 1 species